AUGUAUUUUGUCAACAACUGUUUUUUAUAUUAGAUUGUUUUAUAGUGUAGAACAAAGGCUAGUAUUAGAAAAAGUCGUGCUAUUCUAGAAAAAAUACCGAAUUAUUAGAACAGUAAAAGAGAAAUUUUAACUUUUGUUAGUGUUUUUGACUGCUGUACAAGACAACGUAUUCAUUUCACUUCAAGAUUAUGCUAUAGGAGAAUUGCAAAUUUAGAGGGAACAAGGGAGUCUUGUUAUUUCUACAGUUCAAGUCAACAUAAAUCUGAAAUCGUUUGUUUUUGAACCUCCUCUGCUCAGAGACCUACAUCGGUCUAUUUCACAGGGGAAAUUUGAAAAUACAAAUCCAGGGUGUAUAUUCGAAAGGAGGAUGGAGCCGAUCUUGGAUUGGCGUCUGAAACUUUCAAGACACUCGUCAAACGGGCGUGGUUGCGGCUCGCGGAAAAGAAAGGCGUCGCGAACGCCUUAAAGAUCCUGACUUUGACCGACUUAAGAAACGCCCUACUUUCUGAAGAAGAAUGGAAUAGUUUCGUCUCGGAGAUUAAAAAACAAAAUUACAAACGGAGCAUCUCAUACUCUCCGAGUUCUUACUAUGAACGCCUUGUUGAAUAUUACGAAAGCGAAAACGUCAAAGAUUCAAUAAUAAUAGGAUUUAUUAUUGUGUUUGUGAUUAUCUACUGUAUUAUUCCGAUCGUCAGGCUCAUACGGAAAUCAGCUUACAAUGAAAGCAAAAACACAAUUCAGGAUGUGGUCCGACAAAAAGAAUCGUCAAAAUUGCCAUGUUCGAAAAACAGCUCAUGCCAUUCAAUAUUAUCAGGUCAUGAUAUUUCGGAAUGCUUAAAAAGGUGCGCUUGCUGGGAUGGACCAGCACAAAAUAAUACGAAAAAUGUGACAAGUAAUAAUUAGAUUAUUUAUACAAGAUAAAACUAUUAUUGUUUAAAAUUAAAUAAAAAUUAACGAUGAAAUGUU